rnacentral:tRNA from 1 species
AGGAUUUAAGUUAAAUUUUAAACUAUUGACCUUCAAAGUCAAAAAUAGAAACAAUUUCUAAUCCUUA